GUGGGCGUGCCGGAGUGGUUAUCGGGCAUGACUAGAAAUCAUGUGGGCUUUGCCCGUGUAGGUUCAAAUCCUAUCGCUCACA
rfam:Ipomoea nil DNA, scaffold: scaffold2283, cultivar: Tokyo-kokei standard.